AUCCUUGUGGUGAAAGCGGAUAUCACGCUGCGAUCCUACCGCAGAGAUUCGGGUUCGAAUCCCGACAAGGGUU
rnacentral:tRNA from 1 species